rnacentral:rRNA from 1 species
CACGUAGGGGCCAAGCGUUGUCCGGAUUUAUUGGGCGUAAAGAGCUCGUAGGCGGUUGGGUAAGUCGGGUGUGAAAACUCUGGGCUCAACUCAGAGACGCCACCCGAUACUGCUCUGACUUGAGUCCGGUAGGGGAGUGGGGAAUUCCUGGUGUAGCGGUGAAAUGCGCAGAUAUCAGGAGGAACACCGAUGGCGAAGGCAGAUCUCUGGGCCGUAACUGACGCUGAGGAGCGAAAGCAUGGGGAGCGAACAGG